GUGGGGAAUUUUCCGCAAUGGGCGAAAGCCUGACGGAGCAAUGCCGCGUGGAGGUGGAAGGCCUACGGGUCGUCAACUUCUUUUCUCGGAGAAGAAACAAUGACGGUAUCUGAGGAAUAAGCAUCGGCUAACUCUGUGCCA
rnacentral:rRNA from 1 species